UCGACUCUAACAUUAACUGGUGUGAGUUUGUCAAUUUAAAAUAUUGCAUGAAAAAUGUAGGGAGUGAAACUAUCGAGACCAUUCAGCUACUCAAAAAUGGCCAGUGUAUUGUUUAAUUAAAAUGUGUGUUUUCAAUAUGAAAAUAAUACAAUCAUUUAAUGUCAACUUUUAUUCAACCUGGAACAGGCAUGGAAAUUGCUUUCUCUCUGUUUCAGAUGCAACAGCAUUGCUGUUUUUUGGUGAACAGACAGCUGCAGAGUCCAGUCCGGUGGUUCAUCUGACUGCUAAUCCUCCAUGGUCAGCUGUGUUCCCAGGAGAGACGAUUACUCUCACCUGUCAGGUUAUUGGAUCUGAGGGGUGGACAUUUUACUGGAUCAGACACAGACAGGGGGGCUUAGCACAACUUCCAGGCUCCAGUGGUGAUGGCUCUGUGUUGGUUCUGGUUCCUGUGAAAGAGAGAGAGAGUGGAAUGUAUCAGUGUGUAGCUGCAAAAGGGAAAGACCGAGCUUUCAGUAACUUUCAUAACAUAACAGCAUCUGCUACUCGUCCUCAGGCUGUCAUAGGCACAGAUCCCCCAGCCUCAGUGAUGUUCACAGGAGAAACCGUUACCUUGACUUGUGACAUCAGGAAAGGGUCUGGCUGGAGAUAUUCAUGGAUUAGAGAAACUAAAAUAGGAUUUGAGCAUCUCACUGUCCGCAGUACU